AUGCAGGAGGUUGACCUAGAACUUAAAGAGUUUAUCGUGCCCACCCAGCAGGGGAAACUUCAAUUUAAUUGGGAAAGACCACACAAAAUAUGUCAGAAACUACAUCACGAAGCCUACAAACUUGAACAAAUGGAUGGACGACUCAUCCCUAGAACGUGGAACUCAAUUAAUGCGAAAUAUUACUAUAGUGAAUUGUUUUUCAGUUAUGAGUUUAAAGAAGAAAGAUUGUUCACCUGCUAA